AUUUAUUGAAAAAAGUAAUGGAGAUGGUCCUUGAGAUGAGCUGGCGGGUCAUCGAGGCAGGGAACGUGUGGCAGGCGGUGGCGAGAACAGGCGGCUGGCUUGGCGGCGUGGUGGAAGAAGUCAACUCAGUGAGGGACACGGAGGGAGCACUGAGGACAAGGAGAAACACCGAGGUCAGAAAAAUGGAGCGGAAUGGCGUAGCUUACUUGUAUGCUUGAGAGCCAUUGUAUCACGGGAGAACAUUAAUAGUCUGGCAGUGGAGUCUUGGAUCUGGCAGGCUUUUAUGCAGGUGGUGAUGAAGGCUGAUUGAUGACAGGUGGUGCUGCUUACUACGAAGAGAGGAAGGGGGAGCGAGAGAGGGCAAAAGGGGCGGAAAGCGCCACCCAAGCUCCAACAAAAGAACUGCAGGGCACAGCUCAUGACAAUUUAUUUCCCAAAGGGGCAGGGCACUGCAGCAAAUGCUCCUCAAACAAGAGGAAAUGAUCAAGUGUGAGUACGGCAGAGAGGAGCAGGUGUGGGAGGUUGAGAGGAGAAAGACAAAUGAGCAGCCGGCACGGUGAAAGACAGCCUCACAGUUCUAGGGACCGGGGUUCAAAUCUGGCCUCCCCUGUGUGGAGUUUGCAUGUUCUCCCCGUGCCUGGGUGGGUUUUCUCCAGGCACUCCGGUUUCCUCCAACAUCCCAAAAGCAUGCAUGGGAUUGCAGUGCCAUGUCUCCAUCCAGACCUUCAGUUGCGCCACCUUUAAAGGGAAUGAGAAGGAAUUGGCAGUCAGAGAAGUCAGCUGAAAACACUCCUAAUGUGGUGCAACGCAGUCUACGAACUUACCAACACCGGUCUAACCCGCCCCUGGCAUACAGUUGCGGCACCCACCGCACCAGAUUUACGCUGGUCA